CCUCCACCUGAUGCCUCCCUGAAGGGCAUCCUUCGGGCGGUCAACGGCCUCCGCGGCCAGGUCUCAGCGAGCUCCGUAAGCCCCGGCCCCAUCUCCGGCCUCCCAGGCUCCUCCUCCGGCAACAGCAGUCGGCAUGGAGCAGUCCGAUGAUCGACCUCCGACAGAUUUUGCCAACACCAUCUUGGGAGAAUCCCGGCAGGAAACAACCGAUGUAUUGGUCGGACCCCUUAAGCGACAAAGGAUUGAGGAAUCCAUAACCUUUACUGAAGAAGAUGCUCGGGGAGUUCAAUUUCCUCAUGACGACGCAGUUGUAGUUUCUUUAAAUAUAGCUAAUUACGAUGUCCG
rnacentral:lncRNA from 1 species